UACGUAGGGUGCAAGCGUUAAUCGGAAUUACUGGGCGUAAAGCGUGCGCAGGCGGCUUUGCAAGACAGAUGUGAAAUCCCCGGGCUUAACCUGGGAACUGCAUUUGUGACUGCAUGGCUAGAGUGCGGCAGAGGGGGAUGGAAUUCCGCGUGUAGCAGUGAAAUGCGUAGAUAUGCGGAGGAACACCGAUGGCGAAGGCAGUCCCCUGGGCCUGCACUGACGCUCAUGCACGAAAGCGUGGGGAGCGAACAGG
rnacentral:rRNA from 1 species